rfam:Triticum aestivum genome assembly, contig: Triticum_aestivum_CS42_TGACv1_scaffold_033132_1BL
GUCUCCUUGGGGACAUCCGAUAAAAUUGGAAUGAUAUAGAGAAGUUUAAUAUGGCCCCUGUGUAAGGAUGACACACACACAAAUUUGGAAAGAAAGAAAAAUAUAUUU